rnacentral:rRNA from 1 species
UACGGAGGGUGCAAGCGUUAUCCGGAUUCACUGGGUUUAAAGGGCGCGUAGGUGGGCAGGUAAGUCAGUGGUGAAAUCUCUGGGCUUAACCCGGAAACUGCCGUUGAUACUAUCUGUCUUGAAUAUAGUGGAGGUGAGCGGAAUAUGUCAUGUAGCGGUGAAAUGCUUAGAUAUGACAUAGAACAUCGAUUGCGAAGGCAGCUCGCUACACUAUGAUUGACACUGAGGCACGAAAGCGUGGGGAUCAAACAGG